GGAGGGGAUCGGGGCCGCAGAGACCAGGGGGAAGCGACUGUUUACUAAAAACACAGGUCCGUGCGAAGUCGCAAGACGAUGUAUACGGACUGACUCCUGCCCGGUGCUGGAAGGUUAAGAGGACCGGUUAGCCUCACGGCGAAGCUGAGAAUUUAAGCCCCAGUAAACGGCGGUGGUAACUAUAACCAUCCUAAGGUAGCGAAAUUCCUUGUCGGGUAAGUUCCGACCUGCACGAAUGGAGUAACGACUUCCCCGCUGUCUCAACCAUAAACUCGGCGAAAUUGCAGUACGAGUAAAGAUGCUCGUUACGCGCAGCAGGACGGAAAGACCCCGAGACCUUUACUAUAGUUUGGUAUUGGUGUUCGGAGUGGCUUGUGUAGGAUAGGUGGGAGACGUUGAAGCCCGGACGCCAGUUCGGGUGGAGUCAUCGUUGAAAUACCACUCUGGUCACUUUGGACAUCUAACUUCGGCCCGUAAUCCGGGUCAGGGACAGUGCCUGAUGGGUAGUUUAACUGGGGCGGUUGCCUCCUAAAAAGUAACGGAGGCGCCCAAAGGUUCCCUCAGCCUGGUUGGCAAUCAGGUGUCGAGUGUAAGUGCACAAGGGAGCUUGACUGUGAGAGAGACAUCUCGAGCAGGGACGAAAGUCGGGACUAGUGAUCCGGCGGUACAUUGUGGAAUGGCCGUCGCUCAACGGAUAAAAGGUACCUCGGGGAUAACAGGCUGAUCUUGCCCAAGAGUCCAUAUCGACGGCAUGGUUUGGCACCUCGAUGUCGGCUCGUCGCAUCCUGGGGCUGGAGUAGGUCCCAAGGGUUGGGCUGUUCGCCCAUUAAAGCGGUACGCGAGCUGGGUUUAGAACGUCGUGAGACAGUUCGGUCCCUAUCCGCUGCGCGCGCAGGAAAUUUGAGAAGGGCUGUCCUUAGUACGAGAGGACCGGGACGGACGAACCUCUGGUGUGUCAGUUGUACUGCCAAGUGCACCGCUGAUUAGCUACGUUCGGAUGGGAUAACCGCUGAAAGCAUCUAAGCGGGAAGCUCGCUUCAAGAUGAGAUUUCCAUACACCUCGUGUGUGAGAGGCCCCCAGCCAGACCACUGGGUUGAUAGGCCGGAUGUGGAAGCGAGGACUAACGACUCGUGAAGCUGACCGGUACUAAUAGGCCAACAACUUACACCACA
rnacentral:rRNA from 1 species